rnacentral:ncRNA from 1 species
CGCUCCGGUGCGAGGGGCGGUCUCUUUUCCCAAGGACCACGACGGUGAAAGAACCCGACCAAGCCCCACCCCUCCCGCCCGCUGCGCAAACUCACCCACCCGGGUGAACAUCGCCAACUCGGCUGGAUUCCCAGCCCCUUGCUGGCCCUACGCUCAGCGCAACACAACCGCAGACAUGCGACGGCCCCCGCCGGGACGGCAAUCCCAGUGCGAGGGCCUGACCACCGAGGAAGUAGGAGCUUCCCG